rnacentral:rRNA from 1 species
UACGGGGGAUGCGAGCGUUAUCCGGAUUUAUUGGGUUUAAAGGGUGCGUAGGCGGCUUAUUAAGUCAGCGGUGAAAUUUAGGGGCUUAACCUCUACCGUGCCGUUGAUACUGGUGAGCUUGAAUGCGGAUGCCGUGGGAGGAAUGUGUGGUGUAGCGGUGAAAUGCAUAGAUAUCACACAGAACACCGAUUGCGAAGGCAUCUCACGAAUCCGCGAUUGACGCUGAUGCACGAAAGCAUGGGGAGCGAACGGG